GAAAAAGGGCGUGAAAUUUGGAUGUUAGAGGUUCAAAAGCCUUUGGACGAAUUCUAACCCUUUGAUUUGUUAUUAUUUCUGAGUGGCUGGGAUGAUGCCAUGCGUCUGAGCUUCCGCGCCCUUUGUUAUACUAGAUCUAGCACACCAAAUUUGGUAGUUCAACCACCUUGAUAAAUGAACAAAAGGAGGCUUAAACUUUGACUUCAAUUUUAGCCAUUUGUUAUGUUCAAUCUAAUGAUUAUAAUGAUUGCAAUUUAAGACGCUUUGAUUGAAUUACUAAUUCUCAUUGUAAGAUUGUGAUUAAAGCUCACAAAAAAUAUUAUGUAAAUACCUACACUUGAUCACGCAAAAUUUACCUAUAUAAAGGCAAGAGCUCUUACAAUUGAGAGUGUGCUAGAUUUUGGGAGAAAGAAGAAAAGUAGAGAGAAUUGUGUGCUGGAUUUUAGGAGUCAACAUUUUGGGUGUAAAUCUAGAGUUAAUUUUAAGAAAAAAAAAUCUCUUUUUUUUCCCUUUAUUUUCAAUUUUCUUGUACUAUACUUUACAAAGUU
rnacentral:lncRNA from 1 species